UACAGAGGGUGCGAGCGUUGUCCGGAAUCACUGGGCGUAAAGGGCGCGUAGGCGGCCUGAUAAGUAGGGGGUGAAAUCCUGUGGCUUAACUGCAGGGCUGCCUCCUAGACUGUUAGGCUCGAGCACGGUAGAGGCAGAUGGAAUUCCCGGUGUAGCGGUGGAAUGCGUAGAGAUCGGGAAGAACAUCGGUGGCGAAGGCGGUCUGCUGGGCCGUUGCCUGACGCGAGGCGCGACAGCGUGGGGGAGCAAACAGG
rnacentral:rRNA from 1 species